AAAAAUCACACCACGACAAACCAUAACAACUACCAACCAAUCAAUCACAUCGCCAGUGAUAACGACAAUUAUAGAUGUAAAACCCGGAUCCCAAACCACAGAUUAUGGAAGAAGGAGGAAGAAGGCCGACAAUGAAGAGGCAGGGAAGCGACGCUCAUCAUCAACAAGAGAGGUUUAGGUAAAGUGUAUAUAGAGAAGGAAAUAGAGAUAGAAUGGAGGAAUGAAGAUAAACUUAGGGUUUGGGAGUGAGGUGAGGUAUGUUAAUUUUACAAUAUUAUUAUUAAUAUUAAAAGAAGCAAUAUCUUCAAGCUUUAAAUCUUCAGAAUUUGAACAGACAUUUGCAAACUUCAAUAGUAGCUAUCUAAUUUGAACGAUCGCCACUGUUUAUGGCUUGAGGAACCAUUCAAGGUUGUGAGGAAGGAUUGAGCAAAAUUUUGCAUAUAUUGAGGGCCAUUGAUUUUUGCAUUGCAAAACAGAAGGUUCCUAAUAGGGCACAAGAUUUGCCUUCACUGUUAAAGAAGUGAAACAAAAGGAUGGAGCACAUAUACAACAUUGGUAAUCGCUGUGAUGUGAAGGUUACAACACGUCCAGUCAUUA